AAAAAGUAUGAAACCAAAGAAAGUGGAAUACUAAAAUCCCAAGAAAACUGUAGAAAAGUUUGGAAGAAACACAUUAGCUUUCUCAGGGGAAAACAGUAACACGUUGGGGGCAGUUUAAAUGAAGCCUAUAGGUUUGCCUUUUUUUAGCUUCAUCACCCAUGUGACGCUCAAGAGUUCAGCGUGUGGGUCCAGGUAUUUCUGCCAACACAAAGAAUUCAUUACAGCCUUUUGGAAAGGCGCAUCAUUCUGACUGUCUCAGCUUAUUCCCUUCGCUCUCCCCAAGAGCUGUUAACCCCAGGUACACUUUGAUUCUCUUUACGCACAUCCUCGCAGAUGGGAUCCUUUCUCAGUCUUUGGAUUUCUCCUUCGGAUCAAAACCACUGCUGAUGGAGCCAGUGGGCUGCCGGGUGUGGGAAGAAUUUUCAGGCUCUGACAUAGAUACAAGAAAUGAACCACAGAGUCAGCAGGGUCAUCAUUCUCUGAUCCAGUUUGGUGAAAUUCUUUGUGUUUGAAGUACCAGUGUAGCCUUCACACUACAAGGCCUUUCUCAUCCCUUGUUAGUCAUACUUCCUAUUUUCCCGAAUGAAACUCCGCCUCUUUAUAACAAACUGCACCAAAUGGCUGUAGCCUGUAUGUUCCAAAUGUGAGGUGAUGCACACUUCAUGGAUACGUUAUGUCUUCAAAAGACAGAUUUCAAUGAUGCAUUAAAUUCUGAGAAGAUGAAAAGAUAUCUCGUUGUUUAACUGUAUCCAACUACCAGUGAAUUUAAUCUUUACAGUUUUAAAUUCAACAAGCAAAAUGAAGUAUUUCAUUGCUCUUUUCAACAUAGCUGCAGACGCCUUAGUGCAAUUUUGGUAGCCCUUAUGUGCAUGUUGGACUGGUUUUUAGAAAAGCCUGAAAUAAAAUCCAAACAAACAAAACAAAAAACCCCAUCAAUAUACUGGCCAUGUCAAAAGAGCUUUGGUGGUCCCUCUUCUGCAGUGUAGCUACCUAUAAGAUAUAAAGUAUUCAAGUCAAUCUCCCACUAGGGGAGGGGGGGAAAUCAGAGAGGAUUAUUUUAAAAAAGAAUUAAAAAAGCCUAAUGUCAGUAACUACGCCCAGACACUGAAAUAUCUAACAGUUCCUACAUCAUAAAUGUUGAACCUUUUCAACUGUUCAAAUUCAAAUUUGAAUUCCUUACACAGGAUGUAUCAACACUCCCAGUGAAGCUUGUGUUAUAGGAGCAGUAUGGAAUAUCUUUCUUAGUGUUACUGAACUUUGGACAUGUAACAAUAUCAUUGUCUUGAGCAUA
ensembl:lncRNA